rnacentral:lncRNA from 1 species
CAGGUAUUAAAUAUGCGUCGGAAAGCGGUGGUUACGUGGUUCAAUCAGAAGAAAUGAUGCACUCCAUGUUAGAUUUUCUACACCACCGACGGGGCAUAAAGAAUUACUCAUACAGAUAUUUUCUGGCUAUUGUGCGUUCAAUUAUGUGCUCAGGAAUUUCUUACGUGCAUAUUUUCUACCCCGCCCGUGAUGAAUUAAUCCUGCAUUCGGA